ACCUUGGGCUCCGCUCGCGCGCACCGAUCCCUCACCCCGGACCCCGGACCCCGGGGGCCCGAGGGUGUGCAGGGCCUGCUCCUCCGCCGCCCGGCUCGACCCUGCAGAUGAUGCAGCCUUGGCUGCUGACCUGGCAUUCACUAGGAGGAUCAGGCUGACCUUGAACUCACAGCGAUCUGCUUACCUCCAGAGUGCUCAGUUUACAGAUAUUCAGUGUGCCCAGGAGGCCAGAAGACAGUGUCAGAUUCCCUGGAGCUGGAGUCACAGGCGGUUGUGAGCUUCCCAUCAUAAGCACUGGGAACUCCGCUCCUAGGCAAGAGCAGCA